rnacentral:rRNA from 1 species
GUCUUAAAGAAUUAUUAUUUUAAGUCUAAUCUGCCCACUGAAUUUAUUUAAAGGGCCGCAGUAUAAUUGUGCAAAGGUAGCAUAAUAAUUAGUUUUUUAAUUGGAAACUAGAAUGAAUGAUUGGACGAAAUAUUAACUGUUUUGGUUUUAUAUAUAAAAUUUAUUUUUUUAGUGAAAAAACUAAAAUUACUUAAAAAGACAAGAAGACCCUAUAGAUCUUUAUAUUAUAAUUAUAAAUUAAUGUUUAUUUUAUAAUGUUAAAUUGGGGUGAUUGAGAAAUUUAAUUAACUUUUUAUAUUUUUUACAAUAAUUAUUGAAUUAUUGAUGUUGAUCUAUUAUUAAGAAUAAAGAAUAAGAUACCUUAGGGAUAACAGCGUAAUUUUAGUUUUAAGUUCGUAUUGAAAUUAAAGAUUGCGACCUCGAUGUUGGAUUAAAAUUAAUUUUAAAUGUAGAUGUUUAAUAAUUAGGUCUGUUCGACCUUUGAAUUUUU